UGGGUUUAAGGGAGCGUAGGUGGACUGGUAAGUCAGUUGUGAAAGUUUGCGGCUCAACCGUAAAAUUGCAGUUGAUACUGUCAGUCUUGAGUACAGUAGAGGUGGGCGGAAUUCGUGGUGUAGCGGUGAAAUGCUUAGAUAUCACGAAGAACUCCGAUUGCGAAGGCAGCUCACUGGACUGCAACUGACACUGAUGCUCGAAAGUGUGGGUAUCAAACAGGAUUAGAUACCC
rnacentral:rRNA from 1 species